rnacentral:lncRNA from 1 species
CAAUAACAUACAGGGUUCUCAACCAGUCUCUAAAGUUUUCUUUUUUUUUGGAGAAUCCAGGUGGGACAAAAGCUCUACCCCUGAGUGAGUGUUAUUUAUUAUGAUUUGGAGGUUACAUACUGGGUUAGAUGGAUUCUAUUUUGAAGUGUUACAAUCAUAGACCCCAAUUGCAUGGAAAAGUCCCAUCAGACAGAGGUGGG